rnacentral:rRNA from 1 species
CAUGCAAGUCGAACGAUGAAGCUUCCUGCUUGCAGGAAGUGGAUUAGUGGCGAACGGGUGAGUAUCACGUGAGCAACCUGCCCUUGACUCUGGGAUAAGCCUGGGAAACUGGGUCUAAUACCGGAUAUAACCUCUUACCGCAUGGUGAGUGGUGGAAAGCUUUUGCGGUCUUGGAUGGGCUCGCGGCCUAUCAGCUUGACGGUGAGGUAGUGGCUCACCGUGGCGAUGACGGGUAGCCGGCCUGAGAGGGUGACCGGCCACACUGGGACUGAGACACGGCCCAGACUCCUACGGGAGGCAGCAGUGGGGAAUAUUGCACAAUGGGCGAAAGCCUGAUGCAGCGACGCCGCGUGCGGGAUGACGGCCUUCGGGUUGUAAACCGCUUUCAGCAGGGAAGAAGCGCAAGUGACGGUACCUGCAGAAGAAGCGCCGGCUAACUACGUGCCAGCAGCCGCGGUAAUACGUAGGGCGCGAGCGUUAUCCGGAAUUAUUGGGCGUAAAGAGCUCGUAGGCGGUUUGCCGCGUCUGCUGUGAAAGCCCGGGGCUUAACCCCGGGUGUGCAGUGGGUACGGGCAGACUAGAGUGCAGUAGGGGAGACUGGAAUUCCUGGUGUAGCGGUGAAAUGCGCAGAUAUCAGGAGGAACACCGAUGGCGAAGGCAGGUCUCUGGGCUGUUACUGACGCUGAGGAGCGAAAGCAUGGGGAGCGAACAGGAUUAGAUACCCUGGUAGUCCAUGCCGUAAACGUUGGGCACUAGGUGUGGGGGACAUUCCACGUUUUCCGCGCCGUAGCUAACGCAUUAAGUGCCCCGCCUGGGGAGUACGGCCGCAAGGCUAAAACUCAAAGGAAUUGACGGGGGCCCGCACAAGCGGCGGAGCAUGCGGAUUAAUUCGAUGCAACGCGAAGAACCUUACCAAGGCUUGACAUGGACCGGACCGCUGCAGAGAUGCAGCUUCCCUUCGGGGCUGGUUCACAGGUGGUGCAUGGUUGUCGUCAGCUCGUGUCGUGAGAUGUUGGGUUAAGUCCCGCAACGAGCGCAACCCUUGUCCUAUGUUGCCAGCACGUAAAGGUGGGGACUCAUGGGAGACUGCCGGGGUCAACUCGGAGGAAGGUGGGGAUGACGUCAAAUCAUCAUGCCCCUUAUGUCUUGGGCUU